rnacentral:lncRNA from 1 species
AGUGGAUCUGUGUGGGCCACCUCAGCUUUGUACUUUAUGAGCUCCAGGGUCCUGGACCUGGAGCAAAGGAUCUUCUAGUGUACUCACUUCCUUGAGAGUAGAGGGGGACUGAGAGUUCCUGCUCAAGGCAACAGUGGUGAUCAAUGGUGAUAAGGUGGUUUGUGGGUGCUUUUUUCCACCAUAAAGGCAGGAGUGAACAUAUUUAUUGGUCCUGAUUCUCUCAAGCCCAGACAGUUAACUGUCUUGAAAGCUUGGGUUUUGAACUUGAUAUAAGUCAUGCUUUCCAUUGGUCUACCAGAAAAGACAAGCCUAUUGAACAUACUCAAUUAAACCACAGUAUUAGAUUCUCAGGAAAUCAAGAACAAAAGGAAUAGCAGCCUUCCACUACAACUUUCUGAGGAAGCAAAUCAAAGCUCUAGUUUUCUCCUGUUGUCUCUGCUGUCAGACAGUUACUUCUAAAAAGAGCUCACCUUUGACAAAAGAGGUGAAUCAUAAAAUUUUAUAGGAGACCCACACCUAGGGAAGUCACCCCUAUGCCUGGGUACAAAAGGUAGAUUCUAGUAUAGUUGACUAUGGCAGCACCCCCAUGUUUGCCCCAGACUUAUUUUAGGCACAAAAAGAAUGUACCUCCUGCUCUUAGAAAAAUAAGAGAGUCUGGCCUGACAUAGAAUUUAUAGUUCUUAGGGCCUAGGAACAGUGACUGCAAGUACAGAAUGAUGUAGCUAAGCCAUAGGGCCUGGAUAUCAGCUCUUCAACUAGCACCCCUCCCCUGCAGCCUUCCAUCAACCAUCUUCUUCUCCCAGACACCUCACCAGUGGUUGCUAUCUGUCAGUCUUUAGGCUACUUGGUCUGAAACAUAAAAGUGUGUGGCUUGCACUCUUGCACAGGGAAGCAUGGUUCAUUCUCUCUGGAGGACUGGAUGCGUCCCACCAAAUGGCAAAUUGUAUACUUUGUUCCAAGGUUGGAGUAGGCCUAGUGUUCAGGAUGCCCAUGGGUUUGGGAAUAUACAGGUGAUCUGGGGGGUGGGGCAGAAAGAAAAGCAAGGUUCAGCUGUAGGGGCUGAGAGAACAGCCUCCUCAUGUCUGUCACAGUGAAUCUGGACACCUCACAUAGGAAGGGGAUGAGAUGGGAAGGGAGGGAAAGGGGCAGCUCAGUCCAUGAGUGUAAAGUUAUCAUCUCCCUUCCCUAUGUCAUGGGCAGCUAAGAGUGGCUCUGAUGUGUUUAAAUGUUAACAAGAAAACCAAAGGAAGGGUAUCUCAUGAUGUGGGAAUUAUAGGAAACUUUAAAUUCCAUUGCUGUGGUUAUAGCCUCUGGUCACUCCAUCUUUCUUAUGGUCACAGCCCAGGACUUAAAAUGACUCCUGCUUAGACCUGCUUGCCUCCAGUGCUUGCCACCAGGUCACUUGCAAGACAAAUUGCUACUCUUGGGUGCUGCAUCUCUGGGCACAGCUUACCACUUCUGUUCGAUGCUGCUUUCCAUCCCAUUACAGCAGCUAUCCAUGUCCUUUGCGAGUACACUACUGCCUUAAGUGCAGCUCUGUGUCCCAUCACCCAUGAGAACACCAGUAUGUUAGCUCUCAGUGGACAAAGUGCCUGCUCCUCAGAGUCUCCAGACCUUGUCAUGGAGGGUGAGCCAGGAAGACAGUAGCCAUGCAGAAAGGAUUCUGACAGAGGUGGUAAUCAGGCCCUCUGAAGGCCUGGUCCCCCAACAUAUGCAGGCAAACUGUUUUCCAUGGAGGACUCUGAAUCCUCAUCUCUGCCUGUUUAUAAUACACAACAAAGAAGCUAAGGGCUAAGUUACGUUAAGGCCCCUCUUCUGAAAGCACCCACCUUAGUGAACAGUGUUCCCUAUAUUUCUAGCUAUCUGGUUCUCAUGGAAGUUGCUGAUUGUGUGGCCAUGUGUCUAUUCCCUGAAGG